CGGAGGGUGCAAGCGUUGUCCGGAUUUAUUGGGUUUAAAGGGUGCGUAGGCGGCCCUGUAAGUCAGUGGUGAAAGCCUCCAGCUCAACUGGAGAACUGCCAUUGAUACUGCAGGGCUUGAGUACAGACGAGGUUGGCGGAAUUGAUAGUGUAGCGGUGAAAUGCAUAGAUACUAUCAAGAACUCCGAUUGCGUAGGCAGCUAACUAGGCUGUAACUGACGCUGAGGCACGAAAGCGUGGGGAGCGAACAGGAUUAGAUACCCUGGUAGUCCACGCUGUAAACGAUGAUUACUCGAUGUCGGCGAUAAACUGUCGGCGUCUUAGCGAAAGCGUUAAGUAAUCCACCUGGGGAGUACGCCCGCAAGGGUG
rnacentral:rRNA from 1 species